UGAGGAAUAUUGGUCAAUGGGCGGCAGCCUGAACCAGCCAUCCCGCGUGAAGGAAGAAUGCGCUAUGUGUUGUAAACUUCUUUUUCAGGGGGAAAAAAUUCUGUAUGUAUACAGGACUGAAGGUACCCUGAGAAUAAGCAUCGGCUAACUCCGUGCAAGCAGCAGCGGUAAUACGGAGGAUGCGAGCGUUAUCCGGAUUUAUUGGGUUUAAAGGGUGCGUAGGCGGAAUAAUAAGUCAGUGGUGAAACCCUGCAGCUUAACUGUAGACUUGCCAUUGAUACUGUUUUUCUUGAGUAUGGUCAAGGCAGGCGGAAUGUGUAAUGUAGCGGUGAAAUGCUUAGAUAUUACACAGAACACCGAUAGCGAAGGCAGCUUGCUGUGCCGUUACUGCCGCUGAUGCACGAAAGCGUGGGGAUCGAACA
rnacentral:rRNA from 1 species